AGCCUCUGUGCCAUCACGUCUGCCACCAGUUCAGCACAGAGGGGAGUAGAGAGAUGGCACGCAAGCUUUGAUGUGCCUUUGCUGGCCUCGCCUGGAUCAUCUCAUUAGUUGGGAUAAUCUCAUGCGCCCACCCAGCUAUGAGUGGAAUGAGGGAAGUGUUUAUGGCCAUGACCACCCCCAGGGCAUGGAGCAGGAGGUCUGUGCAGGAUGAGGGCUGGGGGCCUGCUAGUCAUGUGCUUCCUCCUUCCACUCCCAGUUUCCAGGAAGGCCACCCCCAGUGCCCUGGUUGUCCUCUCCUGCAUCCGGAGAUGUUUGGCUUCAAAGAAGAAGGGGUGAGGGAGGCCGGUCCAUGCCCAAGCAUGGUGCAAUCUCUUGGCAUCCCUUCCCUCUCCUGAUUUCAGAGAAGUUGAUGACGCCUGAGAUGUUUUCAGAAAUCCUCUGUGACGAUCUGGAUUUGAACCCGCUGACGUUUGUGCCAGCCAUCGCCUCUGCCAUCAGACAGCAGAUCGAGUCCUACCCCACGGACAGCAUCCUGGAGGACCAGUCAGACCAGCGCGUCAUCAUCAAGCUGAACAUCCAUGUGGGAAACAUUUCCCUGGUGGACCAGUUUGAGUGGGACAUGUCAGAGAAGGAGAACUCACCAGAGAAGUUUGCCCUGAA
rnacentral:misc_RNA from 1 species